UGUCGCGGUGGAGAACCCCGCAGUUGUGGCAAUGCCGCACGGCCUCCAGCACCUGCCAGAAGAAUCCUCGGGCCAGGUCCUCCUGUAGGGCUCCUCGUUCGGUGAUAAAGUCGAAGAGGUCUUGCACCGGUUCGGGCCUCUCCAGGAUCAGCACGAAACUAUCGGGCCUCUCGAACCAGUCCAGAAGUCUAAUGACGCCCGAGAAGUCCGAGCUCACCUUCUUCAACAGGACCACUUCCAUGGGCACUCGGGUGCCAUUGGGCUGCAGAGUGAGGGCGAGGGUUAGCGCGCCGGUUCCGGCACGCCCGUCGCCACCCACCCACCCAUGAGAGGGUCUCUGGCUCCGGCUCACUCACCAGUUCUCCCCAAUCGGAAAUCCGGUCCUUCUCCACGUGCUUAAUGGCCACCUGGAAGAAGACCCCCGAGUCUCCAUCAGACCCUCCUGCUCAAAGCAUCCCUCCGCGCGCCCUCCCCGAGGCGGCGUUGCCCACUCACCGGCAAGUUGUCGGCGACGCGGAUGCCAGAGUAGACCGAGCCGAAGCCACCGCUGCCCAACAGCGGGCCCACCUGGUACUGCGACUCCAGGGGCUCCUUCUCUUUGCCUAGGAAAGAGGCACGGGACACUCAGCGCGCUCGACCCACGCGGGGGUCUCCCGGCGUCCCAACGACCCGCGCGCCCAGGGUGGGGUGGGGACACUCACCCGGCGCCAGCUUGGUGGCGUGCAGGUCGUUGCAGGGCGCGGCGCGCAUUGGUUGGAUGGCUGAAUGAAACACAACCUUGCCUGCAGACAUCAAAGCCUGUCUCCAGCCGUAGCAGGCUCUGCCUCCAGCCUUUCGUCUCUCCGGCAUUUGUAAAAUGUUGAUGGCCAAGCAUGAUACCUCAUGCCUGAGACGCCAGCUCUCAGGAGGCCCCCGGCAAGUUCAAGGCCAGCUUGCUCUACAUGAUCCAAAGAAGCGUCUUUCUCUGAUUCCUUUUAUCUGGAAGAACUGAGAGGAGACGGGCGAACGGUUGUGAGAAUCUCUUUAAGGGGCAGUCCUGGAAUGAGUGAAGUGCACCGCUGACUCCUGGCCGCCUGUCUCUCCUAUGGCCUGGCAUCUUCACAGAUGCAGAUUUUGAAAAUGCAUUUCUCCUUUAUCUGAGAGCCCCUCCUGCCCCCUCCUCCAGGACCGACACACUAUGCGUGGAACCUGUGAUGCUAGGCCAUCCUUCCUAUGGUUUGACAUAUUGUCUCACCAGUAAAGGGUAGAGCUGGAACCCACCAUGAAAUCCUGGCCCAGCAAAAUACGUGCCCUAGAGAAGAAGGACCACAAACUCAAGGUCACCUGGGGCUACAUACUUAAGAUCCAGUCUCAAAACUCCAAAUCAAACAAAAAUUGCGCUAAUAAUAAAUUGUAGGAAGUAAGAAGAUGACACCAGGUAGCAGGUCUCAGGCAGCCUCUUUCUGGCUUUAGACUCAUGAUGGCUUAGAGUAGUUUUGAACUCCCAGUAUCAUCUUCUAAAUGUGCAUCUCGACAAAAAAAAAAGGAAUGACCACGCCCAGCUAUAUACAUCUUUUUUAAAUUUAUCAUGUAUAUGUCUGUGAGGAUGUGCAUGGGGUGGGGGUGGGGGGGCUACUCUAGGAGACCAGAGGCACUUGAUCCCUUGGGAUGUUGCCUGAUGUGUGUUCUGGGAACCGAACUCUGGUCUUCUGUAAUAAUAGCAAAGAUCACUAUCAACCUCUGAGCCAUCUCAUGCGGUUUACAUGGAUGUAUUUGAUAUAUACCUAAUAAUGGUAUUUCCUUUAGCGCUGUCGGCCUGACCUGAGCGCCAGGAACUGAACUCCAGUCCUCUAUGAGGGAAGUGUGUGCUCGUACCUGCACUGUCCCCUUAAAAUAAACCAAGACAUGGGGUCUACUGUAGCUUACACUGGUUUAAAACUUCAUCAGGCCUCUGACCCUUCUACCCUGUUUCCCAACUGAUAGGAUUGCAGGCAAAAGGUACCACACCCAGGUCCCUCAAAACACAGAGACCUUGGGACUGGAGAGAUGGCUCAGCGGUUAAGAACACUGACUGCUCUUCCA
rnacentral:lncRNA from 1 species